rnacentral:rRNA from 1 species
CAAUAGCGUAUAUUAAAGUUGUUGCGGUAAAAAAGCUCGUAGUUGGAUUUCUACCGAAGAUAGCCGGUCGGGUCUUCGACCUUGUAUCUGGUUUUGUCUUUGGUAUCCUCAUAGGGAACGUUUCUGCGCUUUAUUGCGUGGAGCGGUAUCUAUGACUUUUACUUUGAGGAAAUUAGAGUGUUCACGGCAGGCAAACGCCUUGAAUAUAUUAGCAUGGAAUAAUAACAUAGGAUCUUCGUCCUAUUUUGUUGGUUUCUAGGGCUAAGAUAAUGAUUAAUAGGGAUAAUUGGGGGCAUCUGUAUCAACGCGUCAGAGGUGGAAUUCUUGGAUUGCGUUGCGACAAACUACUGCGAAAGCAUUUGCCAAGGAUGUUUUCAUUGA